rnacentral:rRNA from 1 species
CAGUAGCCGCGGGAAAACGGAGGGUGCAAGCGUUAAUCGGAAUUACUGGGCGUAAAGCGCACGCAGGCGGUCUGACAAGUCAGAUGUGAAAUCCCCGGGCUUAACCUGGGAACUGCAUUUGAAACUGGCAGGCUAGAGUCUUGUAGAGGGGGGUAGAAUUCCAGGUGUAGCGGUGAAAUGCGUAGAGAUCUGGAGGAAUACCGGUGGCGAAGGCGGCCCCCUGGACAAAGACUGACGCUCAGGUGCGAAAGCGUGGGGAGCAAACAGGAUUAGAUACCCCUGUAGUCCCUGUCUCUUAUAA